rnacentral:rRNA from 1 species
GACGAACGCUGGCGGCGUGCUUAACACAUGCAAGUCGAACGGAAAGGCCCUGCUUUUGUGGGGUGCUCGAGUGGCAAACGGGCGAGUAACACGUGAGUAACCUGCCCUUAACUUUGGGAUAACUUCAGGAAACUGGGGCUAAUACCGGAUAGGAGCUCCUGCUGCAUGGUGGGGGUUGGAAAGUUUCGGCGGUUGGGGAUGGACUCGCGGCUUAUCAGCUUGUUGGUGGGGUAGUGGCUUACCAAGGCUUUGACGGGUAGCCGGCCUGAGAGGGUGACCGGCCACAUUGGGACUGAGAUACGGCCCAGACUCCUACGGGAGGCAGCAGUGGGGAAUAUUGCACAAUGGGCGGAAGCCUGAUGCAGCAACGCCGCGUGCGGGAUGACGGCCUUCGGGUUGUAAACCGCUUUCGCCUGUGACGAAGCGUGAGUGACGGUAAUGGGUAAAGAAGCACCGGCUAACUACGUG